GGCUCCUUAGCAUAGUCUGGAUAGUGUGUCGGGUUUCGGCCCCGAUAGCGCCGGUUCGAAUCCGGCAGGAGUCG
rnacentral:tRNA from 1 species